UACGAAGGGGGCUAGCGUUGCUCGGAAUCACUGGGCGUAAAGCGCACGUAGGCGGAUUGCUAAGUCAGGGGUGAAAUCCUGGAGCUCAACUCCAGAACUGCCGUUGAUACUGGCGAUCUUGAGUCCGGGAGAGGUGAGUGGAACUGCGAGUGUAGAGGUGAAAUUCGUAGAUAUUCGCAAGAACACCAGUGGCGAAGGCGGCUCACUGGCUCGGUACUGACGCUGAGGUGCGAAAGCGUGGGGAGCAAACAGG
rnacentral:rRNA from 1 species